AUCUGACUCUUCGUAGUGCCACAGUAAUUAGGAAAUAUGUUUGAACUCUCCCAGGGACUGCAAGCAUAGGAGCAAUUGACUCCACAGUGACACAGCAACUGGUGUCUGCUAACAAGGAGAAAGCUCUGCCUGGACAAAGAUGUCAGUGAGCUUCGGGACAUGCUCCGGCAGGGGCCAAUGCGAUGGUGUUUUUCG